CAGUGAUCGCAUGACACAUGCCUCCCUAAAUGUUGGCUGCCGGGGGGAGGGAAGCGUGGUUGCUGUACGAAUGGACCCUUCCACAACGUCAACACUAAAACAACCAGCGUGCAGCAGUUUAUGUGAGACUUCAUACCAGCAACAACGAAACGGUGUUAUUUGGAGGCUGUGCGCAGGGGAACUCGUUACUGAUUCUCAGUGGACAAUGCCCCGCGUACGGGUGUUGGAUCGAUCCGGACACGGACUCAACUUUGUCGACGUGGAUGGGAGGUGGUUUCCCGGGGACGUGGACGAGCAGCUCAUCCGGGGAGUUCCAGAUAUGGAAAUCCGGGAUGAUGACGUCAUAAUCUGUGGCUGGAUGCGUUCAGGGACGCACUGGACAUUUGAAAUGACUAACAUGAUCCUCAAUGGGAGUGCCCAGACGGUAGAAAUGCCCAAGCAGGAUCAGAUGAUCGAGAGAAUAUCCCUGGACCAGCAGAGGGCUCUUCUCUCCCCUCGCGUCCUCAAUACGCAUCUUCGAUUCCACCAUCUCCCUCUCAGUGCGCGAAAAAAGAAAACCAAAAUCAUCUUACUGCUGAGAAACCCAAGAGAUUGUGCUGUGUCGUGGUUCAACUUCCAGAAGACGAUUGAAUAUUUUGAUUAUGACGGCAGCUGGGAGGAUUGGUUGCAGCUAUUCUUGGAGGGGAAGAUGGACUGGGGUUCCUGGUUUGAUUACGUCAGAGAUUGGGAGAGAGUCGUUGACGAAAACCCUGACCAUCCCAUAUUUCUCCUUCACUAUGAAGAACAUAAAGCUGAUCCAGUUGAAGCUGUGGAGCGGUUGUCCAGAUUCCUUGACUGCCCGGUGACCAGUGACCUGUCCCGGAAAAUAGCAGACGAGUGCAGCUUUGACAAGAUGAAGGACAACAAGCGAAACUUUGCCUGGACAUCACAGAGUGGCGUGCACGUCCAUUACCGCAAAGGCAAAGUUGGAGAUUGGAAAAAUUGGUUCACAGUGCGGCAGUGUGAAGAGUUUGACAAAGUGUAUCGACAGAAGAUGGCGGGAUCUCGUUUUGAAAGGCUUUGGUCAUCAUGAGUCAAGUGACAGCGGGGACGGGAGUGGUCCAUUCGGCUAAGGCUCCGCUAUUCCCAGAAGCGUGCAGGACUCCUGUGAUCGAUAGUUCAUUCUCUCACUGUAAAGCCAUCAUUCCUUGUAUGACACGUUACUUUAAUACAGGGAGUGGGAAAGUGUAUUUUAUUAUUCAACCCUCAUUCCAGCAGUCUUCGAAAAUGUGAUCGAAAAGAACAACAUGCUAAGUAAAGUACACUGGUAAAUGUGCCAUUAAAAAUCCUUUCGAAUUGCUUGCCACAGUUGUUUUCCCCAAAAUAUUGUUCCCUGAAUAUCCCUAUAAAAAAUGAGAUUUUGGUCCAAUAUAAAUAGCCAUUGACCAUAAACAGUCUGCCUUAAUAGCCAUAGGAAUAUGAUAUAGGACAUAUCUAACACCGUUUCUAACCCUUACUCGUAAAGAAAGAUUUUGCAAACUAUGUCAAUUUGGCCUAAUAGAAGACCAGUUUCAUUUCCUGCAAGUGUGCCCUGCAUAUACUCACCUACGCCAUCUCUAUAUUCCUUCAAAAUAUUAUUUACUCCCAAAUGUACAUAAGUUUAAUAUGUUUUUAUCUACACCUAACACAAAGCUCAUUAUUAAUAUCGACCCGUGAAGAUUCCGGGUCAGAAUAGGUCUUCAGCAACCCAUGCUUGCCGUAAAAGGUGACUAUGCUUGUCGUAAAAGGCGACUAACGGGAUCUGGUGGUCAGGCUCGCUGAUUUGGU
rnacentral:misc_RNA from 1 species